CAUGGUUAGUUUUGCAGGUUUGCAUCCAGCUGUUCUCGUGGCUUGCUGUGCAAAUCCAUGCAAAACUGAUUAUGGC
rnacentral:pre_miRNA from 1 species